CAAGAAGUCCCACCCUUCCAACAGCCUCCAGGCAACUGGAAUUCUUCCCUGGACAGACCACAUGUCACCACUGCCUUCCCAGGGCCAGCUCCCCUAGUCAGCUCUGCUUGGGGUCUCUGCAGUGGCAACCAGGUGACAGCUGGAUCUGGAGUCUUCUGAAGGUUAAACCAGGGUGGGCCAUCCUCAGGUAGGUGGCAUGURGCCUUCCCGGUGGCUAGUUGGGGCUUCCCCACUGCAUGGAUUCUCCAUGGUAUCUUGCUCCCCCUGGCAUGUGUGUGUCAGGCCAGGCAGAACUGUUAGACUUCUAUGACUCGGUGUCCAGUGUCAUGUAGAAUCAUUCUCACUGUGUCCUAUAGGUCAGAAAGAACAUUCUGGGCCACCACCUUUCCAAAGAAAGGAAAUGUCACAAAGUGGGACCCGUGAUCAUCCUCUGUGACUGUAGGGGACUGUGUUUUCCAGCUUUGGCCUGGCCAGCCUAGUGUCCUGAAGGGCAGAGAGACCACACACCAGUGAGCCCCUCCCAGAAGCUGGCCCACCACAGCUGGGCAGGCCCAAGCAGGAUUGGAGCAACCACAGGCAGGAAGUGCCUGUGCUAGAGUGAGACUCCCCAGCCCUGCAGUGGCCAUUGGCUGUGGCAUGCUGAAUUCCGACUCCUCUCCCAGAAACRACAGCAUGUGGCCUUUUCAGGGCAGGCAGAACGUUUUCCAGGGGCUGCUUUGGCUCUCAAGUCAUUCUGGGCCUCCUGUGGACUGGAUAUCUGUCUGGAAAAUGUCCUGCCUGCACUGAAAAGGCCACGUGCUGUCUGUGGGCACCUUGCUGUGUCUGCUUGACUGUCGUCUCUGGGAGAGGAGUUGGAGAGGCACCCUGGAGAGGCACAGCUCUGUCAAGGUCUGGACUCUGCCUGCUGCUGUUCCCGUUCAGACAGGAACAGAGCUUCAAGAGGCUGAGUGCCUGGGCGGUGGGGGCAUCGUUGUCACUCCUGUGGCUUUGGUCACCAAGUGAACAAAAACCCCUCUGGGAGCCGGGCACCAUGGCCCACGCCUGAGGCAGGAGGACUGCAGGUUGGAGGCCAGUCUUAGCAACUUAGCAAGACCCUA